ACCAUCGCCGCCGCCCUCUCGGGGACGCGGGGACGCCGCCGCGUGGCGGGACGGAGAAGUGCCCGGCGCGGGGCCGUGGGCUGCCUUUCCAAGCGGAGGGAACCGAGGAGCGAGGUCUCCCAGCCCGAGACGCCGGCGCGGUUGUGUGACCAGUUCUUUCGACGGAGAAGGAGGUUUUACGAAGUGGGGGGUUCUAGCCAUCCUCCCUCCCAGGGUCACGAGCUUGCGCUCGGCGCUGAGCGGGGCCGUCACCCAUGGGACUUCAGACCCCGAGUUUUGGGGGGCGACAGAGUUCAGUCUCCAGCAGAGGAAUAAUAAGGUCAUUUACUCAAAAAACGUGAAGUAUUUACUGUGCCCCAGGCUCUGUCCUCAGUGCCUGGGACUCAGGUGUGAAUGAGACGGACAGGCUCCGUCUCACAUUGUGGCUGAGCGACAAAGACUAAACAGAGAUAUAGUCUCACUCUGUCACCAGGCAAACUCGAAUUUCUGUGCUCAAGUGAUGCCCCUGCCUCAGCCUCCAGUGUAGCUGGGACUACAGCCACUGAAAGAGAAUUCCCAGAUGCUCCAUUAGAGACUUGAAGUCUUUCAACUGAAUAAAUGAUAUCCCUGAGUACUGAGGCAAUUUGAAAUUUAAAACACAGAACCCUUCCAGAAAUCAUGGAGGGCACCAGAAGGGCUUUAAGUUGGGAAAAAUUUAGGAUUCCAAUCCUUCAAACUUCUAAAAGCGAUCUCUGCAGCUCAGAGAUAUUGUUCACAGAGAUUCUGGGAAUGAAGAAGUUCUGGUAGAGAAUUAGGUUGUGGAGCUUGCUUACAACACCUGCUGCCUUAUUUAAUUCAACAACAGCUGUUCAUUUUCAGACUUCAAGAAGGGUUGUUAUACAAGCAUGUUCUCAUUGUGCCAUGG